CGUCAGGACGAACGCUGGCGGCGUGCCUAAUACAUGCAAGUCGAGCGGAGUUGAUGAGGUGCUUGCACCUCUGAGACUUAGCGGCGGACGGGUGAGUAACACGUAGGUAACCUGCCUGUAAGACUGGGAUAACCCACGGAAACGUGAGCUAAUACCGGAUAGGCGAAACUCUCGCAUGGGAGAAUCGAGAAAGGCGGAGCAAUCUGCCACUUACAGAUGGACCUGCGGCGCAUUAGCUAGUUGGUAGGGUAACGGCCUACCAAGGCGACGAUGCGUAGCCGACCUGAGAGGGUGAUCGGCCACACUGGGACUGAGACACGGCCCAGACUCCUACGGGAGGCAGCAGUAGGGAAUCUUCCGCAAUGGGCGAAAGCCUGACGGAGCAACGCCGCGUGAGUGAUGAAGGCCUUCGGGUCGUAAAGCUCUGUUGCCAAGGAAGAACAGCCGAGAGAGUAACUGCUCUCGGAAUGACGGUACUUGAGAAGAAAGCCCCGGCUAACUACGUGCCAGCAGCCGCGGUAAUACGUAGGGGGCAAGCGUUGUCCGGAAUUAUUGGGCGUAAAGCGCGCGCAGGCGGUAAUGUAAGUUGGGUGUUUAAACCUAGGGCUCAACCUUGGGUCGCACCCAAAACUGCAUCACUUGAGUGCAGCAGAGGAAAAGUGGAAUUCCACGUGUAGCGGUGAAAUGCGUAGAGAUGUGGAGGAAACACCAGUGGCGAAAGGCGACUUUCUGGGCUGUAACUGACG
rnacentral:rRNA from 1 species